GAUGAACGCUGGCGGCGUGCCUAAUACAUGCAAGUCGAGCGAACGGACGAGGAGCUUGCUCCUCUGACGUUAGCGGCGGACGGGUGAGUAACACGUGGAUAACCUACCUAUAAGACUGGGAUAACUUCGGGAAACCGGAGCUAAUACCGGAUAAUAUAUUGAACCGCAUGGUUCAAUAGUGAAAGACGGUUUUGCUGUCACUUAUAGAUGGAUCCGCGCCGCAUUAGCUAGUUGGUAAGGUAACGGCUUACCAAGGCAACGAUGCGUAGCCGACCUGAGAGGGUGAUCGGCCACACUGGAACUGAGACACGGUCCAGACUCCUACGGGAGGCAGCAGUAGGGAAUCUUCCGCAAUGGGCGAAAGCUUGACGGAGCAACGCCGCGUGAGUGGUGAAGGUCUUCGGAUCGUAAAACUCUGUUAUUAGGGAAGAACAAAUGUGUAAGUAACUAUGCACGUCUUGACGGUACCUAAUCAGAAAGCCACGGCUAACUACGUG
rnacentral:rRNA from 1 species